rnacentral:rRNA from 1 species
UACGGAGGGUGCAAGCGUUAUCCGGAUUCACUGGGUUUAAAGGGUGCGUAGGUGGGCUGGUAAGUCAGUGGUGAAAUCUCCAGGCUUAACUUGGAAACUGCCAUUGAUACUAUCAGUCUUGAAUACCGUGGAGGUCAGCGGAAUAUGUCAUGUAGCGGUGAAAUGCUUAGAUAUGACAUAGAACACCAAUUGCGAAGGCAGCUGGCUACACAAAUAUUGACACUGAGGCACGAAAGCGUGGGGAUCAAACAGG